rnacentral:rRNA from 1 species
GAUGAACGCUAGCGGCAGGCUUAAUACAUGCAAGUCGUGGGGCAGCAUGGUGUGUAGCAAUACACACUGAUGGCGACCGGCGCACGGGUGCGUAACACGUAUACAAUCUGCCUUUUACAGGGGAAUAGCCCGGAGAAAUUCGGAUUAAUGCCCCAUAAUAUAUUGAACGGCAUCGUUUGAUUUUGAAAGCUCCGGCGGUAGAAGAUGAGUAUGCGCAUGAUUAGCUAGUUGGUGAGGUAACGGCUCACCAAGGCGACGAUCAUGAGGGGAUCUGAGAGGACUACCCCCCACACUGGUACUGAGACACGAACCAGACUCCUACGGGAGGCAGCAGUAAGGAAUAUUGGUCAAUGGAGGCAACUCUGAACCAGCCAUGCCGCGUGCAGGAUGAAGGCGCUAUGCGUCGUAAACUGCUUUUGUACAAGAGAAAACCACUGUUCGUGAACGGUGUUGAUAGUAUUGUAAGAAUAAGGAUCGGCUAACUUCGUGCCAGCCGCCGCCGUAAGAC